AUGUUCUUUAGCCACCCCAUUACCCAUGUAAAGGAGAUUCGCAUCCCAAAUAAGCCAUCUGUACACAUGUCCUCCUCUUCCCACUUUGGGAGGCAUGGGGACCCAGAUGAAGCCAGUGCUAACUUCAAAGAGGCGUUCUGGCCGUUACUGCAAGCUCUUUCUACCCUGCUAAUGAAGAACUGGUUUGUUGGGUUUGAGACUUCAUGCCUUCAUUUCCCAAAUGCUCUACCCUCGAGGGCAUCACUAACAACGUGGAGACAAGCAGAAAAUGGCCACUCCCAGGAGAAAGUCAUAGACUGGGUGAGAGUCAGUCACAACUGGGCCCCGGCCACAUCUCAGCUCAUUUUCUCCCUAGUACAGUUCUGCCUGCCAAUUUGGGAACAGAAGAAAAGGCUUGGCUGUGAAUCUGAACACAUGAAGCAGAACCUGUGGGAACCAGGUCAUUAUAAACAAGACAUGUGCCAAGAUUCCAUCUCCUUCCUGCACCUCACGUCCAGACGGAAAACCUGCGGGCCAGGCCCUUUAGCACCUGUGCAUUUCACCUGGACCGCCAGAGGGCGCUGUUGCAAACAUCCAAAUGCUUUACCGGGGAGUGAAAAUUCCCACACAAGUCUGACAGAAAAGCCACCUAAUGAUAAGGUACAGUAUUAAGCCAGAUAUCUGCGUGUUUGUCAUCGAACGGGUAAAGUUCAGCUUUGUUACUGUUUGUUUUAAGCUUAAACUGACUGUGAAUUUGACCCUCUGGCAAGCAGAAGAUCAAGGGUAGACACUGCAGCUAAGGGACACACACACACACACACACACACACACACACACACACACACACAGAGCCAGAGAACCCUGAGCAAGGCCAGGAAAGUAAGCGGAUGUCUGGCAUGCUGGGAACCCCUUGGGGGCAUCUCUUAGAGUUGUCACUGGAAGCUGAAAGGGAUUAAACACAGUGGAAAAUGGAGCUGGGUUACAUUAGUGACCCAGGUUGGUCUCUUCAGAAAGGGGGAUUGGUCACCUCACCAGUAACCAACUGAGGCAGCUAAGGCGCUUCCUGAGGCCAAAGGGAACACAGAACAGUAGUAGAUGACAGUCAUAAAUGGCAACUGCCACCAUGUGACCAGUCACUAUGUCUGUUCUGAGAAGUUAGUCCUUGUUUCCUUGUGGGGAUGGUUGUGUGUGUGUAGCAAUAUCUACUAUGCUUCCUUCUGUUUCUUUUUUUAAUUUAUUGUUUUUUUUUUAUUUCAUGUGCAUUGGUGUUUUGUCUGCAGGUAUGCCUAUAUGAAGAUAUCAGAUACCCAAGAACUGGAGUUACAAACAGCUAUGAGCUGCUAUGUAGGUGCUAGGAAUUGAACCUGGGUCUUACGGAAGAGCAGCCAGUGAU
rnacentral:lncRNA from 1 species